rnacentral:lncRNA from 1 species
GCUCGGGAUUCCUUCUUUGGACCUUGGUUGAGAGGCGGGCUGGUGCGAGGAGCCGGACGCGAUCGCUGGGAGCUUAGAUCACGGCUUGAAUAGGGAAGGAGGAUGGCUGCGUUGGAAGGAGCUGGGAGACACCAAGUUCCAUCCAAUUAGUCAUAUAGAAAAAAAUAGUGUGAUAUGAAAUUUGGCUUGUAGACGGGUCAUCUAUUCUGGCUGGAGGUCAAGUGCAAUUCUUUCAAGUCAUGGGUCACCCAGCACCUUAUAGUUAUGAUAUAGCCAAUUUAGAUUUGCUCAAAAUUAUUUUCCAAAAGCACAAAAGAAAUGGACCCGAUUCGGACCCAAACCCGACUCGGAUCUGAACCCGACUCGGACCCGAUUUGAAGUCGAAUUUGUACUCAAUGUGCAUUUUAUCUCUAAUUUAUACUAAUCUAUGUUAAACCCAAAUAUAAUAUUAAUCCAGUGAAUUUAUCAUUAUCGGUUAACAAUAACACUAAUUUUAGUAACAUGUAGGUCGCACUUUU